GUCGGCAGCCAGCUCUCUGCAACUCUCACAUGGUUGCCCACUGAUUCUAAGCAGGGCUGCGCCUGGUCAGUACCUGGAUGGGAGACCACAUGGGAAAGCUAAGUUGCUGCCAGAA
rnacentral:rRNA from 1 species